UACGAAGGGGGCUAGCGUUGCUCGGAAUCACUGGGCGUAAAGCGCACGUAGGCGGAUUGCUAAGUCAGGGGUGAAAUCCCGGAGCUCAACUCCGGAACUGCCUUUGAUACUGGCGAUCUUGAGUCCGGGAGAGGUGAGUGGAACUGCGAGUGUAGAGGUGAAAUUCGUAGAUAUUCGAGAAGAACACCGGUGGCGAAGGCGGCCACUGGAC
rnacentral:rRNA from 1 species